UUACGGCCACAUCACGUUGAAACACCGGUUCCCGUACGAUCACCAAAGUUAAGCAACGUCUAGCGUGGUCAUUACCUAGAUGGGCGAUCGCCUGGCAAUGCCAGUUGCUGUAA